rnacentral:piRNA from 1 species
UAAAUGUUAACCAAUACGUUU